UGGGGAAUAUUGCACAAUGGGCGCAAGCCUGAUGCAGCCAUGCCGCGUGUGUGAAGAAGGCCUUCGGGUUGUAAAGCACUUUCAGCGGGGAGGAAGGCGAUAAGGUUAAUAACCUCAUCGAUUGACGUUACCCGCAGAAGAAGCACCGGCUAACUCCGUGCCAGCAGCCGCGGUAAUACGGAGGGUGCAAGCGUUAAUCGGAAUUACUGGGCGUAAAGCGCACGCAGGCGGUCUGUCAAGUCGGAUGUGAAAUCCCCGGGCUCAACCUGGGAACUGCAUUGGAAACUGGCAGGCUAGAGUCUUGUAGAGGGGGGUAGAGUUCCAGGUGUAGCGGUGAAAUGCGUAGAGAUCUGGAGGAAUACCGGUGGCGAAGGCGGCCCCCUGGACAAAGACUGACGCUCAGGUGCGAAAGCGUGGGGAGCAAACAGG
rnacentral:rRNA from 1 species